rfam:Dipodomys ordii contig_18735, whole genome shotgun sequence.
GGUGGCUCAGUGGUAGAGCACUUGCCUUGCAUGCAUGAGGCCCUGAUUUCGAUUCCUCAGCACCA